rnacentral:rRNA from 1 species
GAACGGGUGAGUAACACGUGGGUGAUCUGCCCUGCACUUUGGGAUAAGCCUGGGAAACUGGGUCUAAUACCGAAUAGGACCACGCGCUUCAUGGUGUGUGGUGGAAAGCUUUUGCGGUGUGGGAUGGGCCCGCGGCCUAUCAGCUUGUUGGUGGGGUAAUGGCCUACCAAGGCGACGACGGGUAGCCGGCCUGAGAGGGUGACCGGCCACACUGGGACUGAGAUACGGCCCAGACUCCUACGGGAGGCAGCAGUGGGGAAUAUUGCACAAUGGGCGCAAGCCUGAUGCAGCGACGCCGCGUGAGGGAUGACGGCCUUCGGGUUGUAAACCUCUUUCAAUAGGGACGAAGCGCAAGUGACGGUACCUAUAGAAGAAGCACCGGCCAACUACGUGCCAGCAGCCGCGGUAAUACGUAGGGUGCGAGCGUUGUCCGGAAUUACUGGGCGUAAAGAGCUCGUAGGUGGUUUGUCGCGUUGUUCGUGAAAACUCACAGCUUAACUGUGGGCGUGCGGGCGAUACGGGCAGACUAGAGUACUGCAGGGGAGACUGGAAUUCCUGGUGUAGCGGUGGAAUGCGCAGAUAUCAGGAGGAACACCGGUGGCGAAGGCGGGUCUCUGGGCAGUAACUGACGCUGAGGAGCGAAAGCGUGGGGAGCGAACAGGAUUAGAUACCCUGGUAGUCCACGCCGUAAACGGUGGGUACUAGGUGUGGGUUCCUUCCUUGGGAUCCGUGCCGUAGCUAACGCAUUAAGUACCCCGCCUGGNGAGUACGGCCGCAAGGCUAAAACUCAAAGGAAUUGACGGGGGCCCGCACAAGCGGC